rnacentral:rRNA from 1 species
GAGGGGUGCAAACGUUAUUCGGAUUAACUGGGCGUAAAGGGUGUGUAGACGGCAUAUUAAGUUCGUUGUUAAAUCUUCCGGCCUAACCGGAAGCUCGCGAUGGAAACUGAUAUACUUGAGGAUGGAAGAGAGAAGUGGAAUUCUCGGAGUAGCGGUAAAAUGCGUAGAUCUCGAGAGGAACACCGAUGGCGAAGGCAGCUUCUUGGUCCACUCCUGACGUUGAGACACGAAAGCAUGGGUAGCAAACAGGGAUUAGAUACCCUGGUAGUCCAUGCUGUAAACGAUGAUCACUGGAUGUCAGCUUCGCUUUGCGAAGUUUGGUAUCGAAGCUAACGCGUUAAGUGAUCCCGCCUGGGAAGUACGGUCGCAAGAUUA